rnacentral:lncRNA from 1 species
CGGUGAGAGGCACCCUUCACAGGAAAGGUUGUCUUUCACCAUGUGAAUGGAGAAGUUCCUGGUUCUUCAUAUGCCAAAUGAUUUUGGAUUAAAUCCGACACAUCUUAAAUAUUAUGUUGUGAGAUUCUGGGUCUUGUUUAAUCCUGUGGUGAAUAUGAAUAGUUUUUUUUAGCAGUCUGAUUAGUCAGACUGAAAGUUUAAAACUGCAGUGGUUCCAAUGUCAAGUCAGUUUUAAAAGCCUUGCAAUGUUAUUUGGAUCUACUCCAUCUGCACAUCAGCUGGUGGUCAGUUUGGGAUCACCAAACUGGGUGGAGAUCUGUCUUUUAGUUCAACUCUCUCUUUUAUCUUAUUACAUUUUAUUUUAUUGUGGUAAGAACUUUUAACAUGUAAUAUACCUUCUUGACAGAGUUUUAAGUAUACAUUAUUGUUGAUUAUAGUUAAAAGGUUGUACAGAAGAUCUCUAGAGCUUAUUCAUCUUGAUUAAUUGAAACUUAAUGCCCCUUGAUUAGUAACUCCCCAUUUUCCUCCCCCCAACCACUGGCAACCACCAUUCCACUCUCUGAUUCUAUGAAUUUGAUCAUUUUGGAUACCUCAUCUAAAUGGAAUCAUGUAAUAUUUGUCUUUCUGUGACUGGCUUAUCUGACUUAGGUUCAUCUAUGUCGUUAAGAUUCAUUCAUGUUAUCACACACUGCAGAAUUUUCUUUUUAAAAUUUGUAUAAUAUUUCAUUUUCUUUAUGUAUCUGUCAAUGGACAUUUAGAUUGCUUUUACAUCUUGGAUAUUAUGAAUAAUGUUGCAAUAAACAUGGAAGUGCUGAUAAUUCUUUGAGAUUCUGAUUGUGGUUCUUUUGAAUAAAUACCCAGAAA